rnacentral:rRNA from 1 species
UACGAAGGGUGCAAACGUUGCUCGGAAUUAUUGGGCGUAAAGCGCACGUAGGCGGUAUUGCAAGUCGGAUGUGAAAUCCCUCGGCUCAACCAAGGAAGUGCAUCCGAAACUGCCGUACUUGAGUACGAAAGAGGAUCGCGGAAUUCCCGGUGUAGAGGUGAAAUUCGUAGAUAUCGGGAGGAACACCGGUGGCGGAGGCGGGUCUCUGGGCCGAUACUGACGCUGAGGAGCGAAAGCGUGGGGAGCGAACAGG